UACGGAGGGGGCCAGCGUUGCUAGGCAUUAUUGUGCGUAAAGUGCGCGUAGGCGGCCGGGUAAGUCUGAUGAGAAAUCCCAUGGCUUAACCAUGGAAUUGCAUCUUAUACUGCCCGGCUAGAGUCUGGGAGAGGGAAGUGGAAUUCCCGGUGUAGCGGUGAAAUGAGUAGAUAUCGGGAGGAACACCAGUGGCGAAGGCGGCUUCCUGGACCAGUACUGACGCUGAGGCGCGAAAGCUAGGGGACCAAACAGG
rnacentral:rRNA from 1 species